rnacentral:misc_RNA from 1 species
ACAAACUUGGUCAUUUAGAGGAAGUAAAAGUCGUAACAAGGUCUCCGUUGGUGAACCAGCGGAGGGAUCAUUAAAGAGAGCCUAAAAAACUCCCGUAAACCCCAUGUGAACAUACCAUACGUUGCCUCGGCAGGCCUCAUACGUGCCCCCCUCAUGCGUGCCCGGCGCGCAACCCCGCAAGGGGGGGGGGACGCGGGUGGGACCUGCCGGUGGCCCAAGCAAACCCUGUCGUCACUGAAUUCUGAGCCCGCAUGUAGGAAAUUAAGUCAAAACUUUCAACAACGGAUCUCUUGGUUCUGGCAUCGAUGAAGAACGCAGC